UACGAAGGGUGCAAGCGUUGUUCGGAAUUACUGGGCGUAAAGGGUUCGUAGGCGGGAAUGUAAGUAGGAUGUGAAACCCCCGGGCUUAACCUGGGACGUGCAUCCUAAACUGCGUUUCUUGAAUAUUGGAGAGGGUCGUGGAAUUGCUGGUGUAGGAGUGACAUCCGUAGAGAUCAGCAGGAACACCGGAGGCGAAAGCGACGACCUGGCCACAUAUUGACGCUGAGGAACGAAAGCGUGGGGAGCAAACAGG
rnacentral:rRNA from 1 species